rnacentral:rRNA from 1 species
AGUGAACGCUGGCGGUAGGCCUAACACAUGCAAGUCGAACGGCAGCACAGUAAGAGCUUGCUCUUACGGGUGGCGAGUGGCGGACGGGUGAGGAAUAAAUCGGAAUCUACUUUUUCGUGGGGGAUAACGUAGGGAAACUUACGCUAAUACCGCAUACGACCUACGGGUGAAAGCAGGGGAUCUUCGGACCUUGCGCGAUUGAAUGAGCCGAUGUCGGAUUAGCUAGUUGGCGGGGUAAAGGCCCACCAAGGCGACGAUCCGUAGCUGGUCUGAGAGGAUGAUCAGCCACACUGGAACUGAGACACGGUCCAGACUCCUACGGGAGGCAGCAGUGGGGAAUAUUGGACAAUGGGCGCAAGCCUGAUCCAGCCAUACCGCGUGGGUGAAGAAGGCCUUCGGGUUGUAAAGCCCUUUUGUUGGGAAAGAAAAGCAGCAGGUUAAUACCCCGCUGUUCUGACGGUACCCAAAGAAGAAGCACCGGCUAACUUCGU